rnacentral:rRNA from 1 species
URGAGUUUGAUCCUGGCUCAGAUUGAACGCUGGCGGCMGGCCUAACACACGCAAGUCSAGCGGCAGCACAAGGGAGUUUACUCCUGAGGUGGCGAGCGGCGGACGGGUGAGUAAUGCCUAGGGAUCUGCCCAGUCGAGGGGGAUAACAGUUGGAAACGACUGCUAAUACCGCAUACGCCCUACGGGGGAAAGAGGGGGACUUUCGGGCCUCUCGCGAUUGGAUGAACCUAGGUGGGAUUAGCUAGUUGGUGAGGUAAUGGCUCACCAAGGCGACSAUCCCUAGCUGUUCUGAGAGGAUGAUCAGCCACACUGGGACUGAGACACGGCCCCGACUCCUACGGGAGGCAGCAGUGGGGAAUAUUGCACAAUGGGGGAAACCCUGAUGCAGCCAUGCCGCGUGUGUGAAGAAGGCCUUCGGGUUGUAAAGCACUUUCAGUAGGGAGGAAAGGUUGUAAGUUAAUACSUUGCAGCUGUGACGUUACCUACAGAAGAAGGASSGGCUAACUCCGUGCCAGCAGCCGCGGUAAUAC